CUUGCUUCUAUGCGUUACGGCGGACGGGUGAGUACACGUGGGCACCUGCCUGUAAGACUGGGAUAACUUCGGGAAACCGAAGCUAAUACCGGAUAGGAUCUUCUCCUUCAUGGGNGAUGAUUGAAAGAUGGUUUCGGCUAUCACUUACAGAUGGGCCCGCGGUGCAUUAGCUAGUUGGUGAGGUAACGGCUCACCAAGGCCACGAUGCAUAGCCGACCUGAGAGGGUGAUCGGCCACACUGGGACUGAGACACGGCCCAGACUCCUACGGGAGGCAGCAGUAGGGAAUCUUCCGCAAUGGACGAAAGUCUGACGGAGCAACGCCGCGUGAGUGAUGAAGGCUUUCGGGUCGUAAAACUCUGUUGUUAGGGAAGAACAAGUANGAGAGUAACUGCUNGUACCUUGACGGUACCUAACCAGAAAGCCACGGCUAACUACGUGCCAGCAGCCGCGGUAAUACGUAGGUGGCAAGCGUUUUC
rnacentral:rRNA from 1 species